rnacentral:rRNA from 1 species
AUACGGAGGGGGCAAGCGUUGUUCGGAAUUAUUGGGCGUAAAGGGCACGUAGGCGGUCAAGCAAGUUGGUGGUGAAAGCCCUCGGCUCAACCGGGGAAUUGCCCCCAAAACUGCUCGACUUGAGUCCCGGAGAGGGUGGCGGAAUUCCCAGUGUAGCGGUGAAAUGCGUAGAUAUUGGGAGGAACACCAGUGGCGAAGGCGGUCACCUGGACGGGUACUGACGCUGAGGUGCGAAAGCGUGGGGAGCAAACAGUAUUAGAUACCCCAGUAGUCC